rnacentral:rRNA from 1 species
GAUGAACGCUGGCGGCGUGCCUAAUACAUGCAAGUCGAGCGAACAGACGAGGAGCUUGCUCCUCUGACGUUAGCGGCGGACGGGUGAGUAACACGUGGAUAACCUACCUAUAAGACUGGGAUAACUUCGGGAAACCGGAGCUAAUACCGGAUAAUAUAUUGAACCGCAUGGUUCAAUAGUGAAAGACGGUUUUGCUGUCACUUAUAGAUGGAUCCGCGCCGCAUUGGCUAGUUGGUAAGGUAACGGCUUACCAAGGCAACGAUGCGUAGCCGACCUGAGAGGGUGAUCGGCCACACUGGAACUGAGACACGGUCCAGACUCCUACGGGAGGCAGCAGUAGGGAAUCUUCCGCAAUGGGCGAAAGCCUGACGGAGCAACGCCGCGUGAGCGAUGAAGGUCUUCGGAUCGUAAAACUCUGUUAUUAGGGAAGAACAAAUGUGUAAGUAACUAUGCACGUCUUGACGGUACCUAAUCAGAAAGCCACGGCUAACUACGUG